rnacentral:rRNA from 1 species
GGCGAACGGCGGAGUAAUACGUGAGCAACGUGCCCUGAAGACUGGGAUAGUCGCGGGAAACUGCGGGUAAUACCGGAUGUGGCAGAGCCUCGGCAUCGAGGGUCUACUAAAUGGUUUUUCGCUUCAGGAGCGGCUCACGGCCUAUCAGGUAGUUGGUGGGGUAAUGGCCUACCAAGCCGACGACGGGUAGCGGGUCUGAGAGGAUGGUCCGCUCGAGUGGGACUGAGACACGGCCCACACACCUACGGGUGGCAGCAGUUGGGAAUCUUGCACAAUGGGGGAAACCCUGAUGCAGCGACGCCGCGUGGAGGACGAAGGGUCUAGGCCUGUAAACUCCUUUUAUGGGGAAAGACUUAGGACGGUACCCCAUGAAUAAGGACCGGCUAACUACGUGCCAGCAGCCGCGGUAAGACGUAGGGUCCAAGCGUUGUCCGGACUUACUGGGCGUAAAGAGCGCGUAGGCGGCUCGUUAAGUGUGGAGUGAAAGCUCGGGGCUCAACCCCGAAACCGCUCCGCAUACUGGCGAGCUGGAGGGAUGCAGAGGUAUGUGGAAUUCCUGGUGUAGCGGUGAAAUGCGUUGAUAUCAGGAGGAACACCCAUGGCGAAGGCAGCAUACUGGGCAUCAUCUGACGCUGAGGCGCGAAAGCGUGGGUAGCAAACAGGAUUAGAUACCCUGGUAGUC